GUACGGGAGGCAGCAGUGAGGAAUAUUGGUCAAUGGACGGAAGUCUGAACCAGCCAUCCCGCGUGCAGGAAGAAGGCGCUAUGCGUUGUAAACUGCUUUUCCGAGGGAAGAAAACCCCCGACGUGUCGGGGCUUGUCGGUACCUUGGGAAUAAGCAUCGGCUAACUCCGUGCCAGCAGCCGCGGUAAUACGGAGGAUGCGAGCGUUAUCCGGAUUUAUUGGGUUUAAAGGGUGCGUAGGCGGACCGAUAAGUCAGUGGUGAAAACCUGCAGCUUAACUGUAGACGUGCCAUUGAUACUGUCGGACUUGAGUGUGGUCAAGGUAGGCGGAAUGUGUAAUGUAGCGGUGAAAUGCUUAGAUAUUACACAGAACACCGAUUGCGAAGGCAGCUUGCUGGACCAUUACUGACGCUGAUGCACGAAAGCGUGGGGAGCGAACAGGAUUAGAUACCCCGGU
rnacentral:rRNA from 1 species